rnacentral:rRNA from 1 species
GACGAACGCUGGCGGCGUGCUUAACACAUGCAAGUCGAACGGUAAGGCCCUUCGGGGUACACGAGUGGCGAACGGGUGAGUAACACGUGGGUGUUCUGCCCUGCACUUCGGGAUAAGCCUGGGAAACUGGGUCUAAUACCGGAUAGGACCACUGCCUGCAUGGGUGGUGGUGAAAGCUUUUGCGGUGUGGGAUGGGCCCGCGGCCUAUCAGCUUGUUGGUGGGGUGAUGGCCUACCAAGGCGACGACGGGUAGCCGGCCUGAGAGGGUGACCGGCCACACUGGGACUGAGAUACGGCCCAGACUCCUACGGGAGGCAGCAGUGGGGAAUAUUGCACAAUGGGCGCAAGCCUGAUGCAGCGACGCCGCGUGAGGGAUGACGGCCUUCGGGUGGUAAACCUCUUUCAGCACCGACGAAGCGCAAGUGACGGUAGGUGCAGAAGAAGGACCGGCCAACUACGUGCCAGCCGCCGCGGUAA